UUGGAGGGGCAAGUCUGGUGCCAGCAGCCGGACGGUAAUUCCAGCUCCAAUAGCGUAUAUUAAAGUUGUUGAGGUUAAAAAGCUCGUAGUUGAACCUUGGGCCUAGCCGGCCGGUCCGCCUCACCGCGUGCACUGGCUCGGCUGGGUCUUUCCUUCUGGAGAACCGCAUGCCCUUCACUGGGUGUGCCGGGGAACCAGGACUUUUACNCUGAACAAAUUAGAUCGCUUAAAGAAGGCCUAUGCUCGAAUACAUUAGCAUGGAAUAAUAGAAUAGG
rnacentral:rRNA from 1 species